AUUGAACGCUGGCGGCAGGCCUAACACAUGCAAGUCUAGCGAGCGGCGGACGGGUGAGUAAUGUCUGGGCAACUGCCUGAUGGAGGGGGAUAACUACUGGAAACGGUAUCUAAUCCCCCAUACCAUCAGAUGUGCCCUGAUGGGCUUAACUAGUAGGUGGGUUAACGGCUAACCGAGGCGACGAUCCCUAGCUGGUCUGUGAGGAUGACAAGCCAAACUGGAACUGAGAAACGGUCCCGACUCCUACGGCAGGCAGCAGUAGGAAAUAUGGCACAAUGGGCGCAAGCCUGAUGCAGCCAUGCCGCGUGUGUGAAGAAGGCCUUCGGGUUGUAAAGCACUUGCAGCGGGGAGGCGUUACCCGCAGAAGAAGCACCGGCUAACUCCGUGCCAGCAGCCGCGGUAAUAC
rnacentral:rRNA from 1 species